AACGAACGCUGGCGGCAGGCUUAACACAUGCAAGUCGAACGCUCCGCAAAGAGAGUGGCAGACGGGUGAGUAACACGUGGGAACGUACCCUUUACUACGGAACAACUCCGGGAAACUGGAGCUAAUACCGUAUGUGCCCUUUGGGGGAAAGAUUUAUCGGUAAAGGAUCGGCCCGCGUUGGAUUAGCUAGUUGGUGGGGUAAAGGCCUACCAAGGCGACGAUCCAUAGCUGGUCUGAGAGGAUGAUCAGCCACAUUGGGACUGAGACACGGCCCAAACUCCUACGGGAGGCAGCAGUGGGGAAUAUUGGACAAUGGGCGCAAGCCUGAUCCAGCCAUGCCGCGUGUGUGAUGAAGGCCUUAGGGUUGUAAAGCACUUUCACCGGAGAAGAUAAUGACGGUAUCCGGAGAAGAAGCCCCGGCUAACUUCGUGCCAGCCGCCGCGGUAACAC
rnacentral:rRNA from 1 species